rnacentral:miRNA from 1 species
UUGAGGGUGCAUAAGGACUGGA